rnacentral:rRNA from 1 species
AUUGAACGCUGGCGGAAAGCCUUACACAUGCAAGUCGAACGAGUGGCGGACGGGUGAGUAAUGUCUGGGAAACUGCCCGAUGGAGGGGGAUAACUACUGGAAACGGUUGCUAAUACCGCAUACCAUCGGAUGUGCCCAGAUGGGAUUAGCUAGUUGGUGGGGUAAAGGCUCACCUAGGCGACGCUCCCUAGCUGGUCUGAGAGGAUGACCAGCCACACUGGAACUGAGACACGGGCCAGACUCCUACGGGAGGCAGCAGGGGGGAAUAUUGCACAAUGGGCGAAAGCCUGAUGCAGCCAUGCCGCGUGUAUGAAGAAGGCCUUCGGGUUGUAAAGUACUUUCAGCGGGGAGGCGGUACCCGCAGAAGAAGCACCGGCUAACUCCGUGCCAGCAGCCGCGGUAAUAA